CAGACCAGACGAGACGAGACGAAUCCGUUCCAUUUCAUUCCAUUCCAUUUGGACAAAACCCACAUUCCAUCGAUGGGGAAUCACUCGUUGGUGUCAAAGGAACGGUGCAUUCGACGAAAGAAUCCGCGAGGAGUUAUUCUUCCGAUUGUGAUUGAAAAUGCACCUCCUCACCCAUCACCCAACAA
rnacentral:ribozyme from 1 species